UUUCCUGGUUUUGAAUUUUCUUGUUGUUUGUCAUGGAAGAUAAUCAUUAUAAAAUGGCUUUCUUACCUGCAGAACAGGCAAGCAAUAACACAAGUGCUUGAUCAUCUGCCAGCAGCGUGGGCUGUUAGGUCACUGGAGACUUGAUCUCCUGAAAACACUCUUUUCUUCCUUUUUUUUUGUUCCCUGUAGAGUUAUUGCGUGUACAAAGACAUAAAGUUGAUGUCACCCUUGAUGCUGACACAGCUCAUCCUAGACUGCAAGUGUCUGAAGAUGGGAAGAGUGUAACAGAUACUGGUGUGAUCAGAAAGGUGCCUGACAAGGACGAGAGAUUUGAUUCCCACACUUUUCUGUUGGCAAAGGAAGGUUACAGAUCGGGGAGACACUACUGGGAAGUAGACGUUGGAAAGAAGCGAAACUGGAACUUGGGUGUUGCCCAGGAGACUGUGAGACGAAAAGAGACAGUUGCUCUGUCCCCUAAGAAUGGUUUCUGGGUCAUAGGGUUAGCAGAUGGGCAAGAGUAUUGGGCCCUCUCAGAUCCUUGGACCCGUUUGAUGGUGAGUGGGAGACCACAGAAGAUUGGGAUCUUCCUGGACAUCUCAUCCAAGAAGUUGUCAUUCUUCAGUGUUCAUCAGAAAAAAUUGCUGUACACUUUUACCUUUGUUAAUCAUCACAGCCGGAAUGUGAAGCUUUUUCCUUUCUUCUCAACAGGUUCAGCUGCAACCAGUUCUGACACUGAGCCUCUAAGAAUUGCAGGGGGGUUUGAUGAUGAUGACAAGUGAAGGGUUGAAGUGAAAAUGCAUGGUUAAUUAAUGACUAAAAUUCAGAGUCUGAGAUCAUAUGACAUUGUAUUCAGCCCCAUGCUUUGUGCCACCAAAUAGAAACAUAAAAUUCUUCCAUCAUUGCUUGCUAAGCCUUCCCUGAGCCAUUUCUGCAGGAAAACCCUGACUUCAGGCCACUAGUCAAUGGGUAGAGAGAGCCUCCCGGUGUUUCUAUGAACCUACACAAGUGUUUUCUAAGCCCAGGAACUGAUCACUAUUGUUUUCUGUGUGUAUGUCUGUGUACAGAUCAUUCCAUCAGGUGUAAAGAAGAGCAUGAUUUUUUUUCUUUCUGUGCAUUGAUCAUCACAGGAAACAUUCAUGACGCCUACGUACAAAAGCUGGCUACUGUGCUAGCAUGGGAAAGCUUUCUGAUGAGCUGAAACCACACUGCUGAAAAUUACCUCUGACUUCUGUUACUGGAUGAUCACCAGUCAUGGCAGAUCUUUCUAUGUCAGUUGCAAAAAUAGAGUGCCUACUGAAGGCAACUUGCCAUCAGUGUUUCUUUCUGCAGAAGUUCCUUUCACUUAGAAAUGGCUCUGUCUGACCCCAGAAGUCAGCAAAGUCUUCCCAGCUUGUCUGUUAUCUUCUACAAAAUUCAUCCUAUUUUAAGCCAUUUAAAGUGUUUCCUUGCUUUCUCAUGGAUCUUCAGUGACUCCACUCAUACAUACAUUUAUUGCAAUUGGUACGACAGAAAAUUAAGAACUGCAGGCUCAGGGUGACAACCAUGCAGUUUACCAUUUCCGUGGUACCAUCAAGUUCCCAUCCCUACAGUGUUAUCAUGGAGCCUGGCCGUGGUGUUCACAUUCCUCUCAACUCUCCAUGCUAUGUCUCUCAGAGUCAUUUAGUGUCAUAGAGCACACCAAUUUCAGCCUGUGUAGCUAAUAUCUAAGGUAGUAGGUUAUGCUGCUUAGGGAACUGUCAUAGAACAUAUUCCAUGCAUAUUCACUGUAUUCCACCAUGGAGUUUCCCUCAACACUGUACCUUCCCUUUAUAGAUGAUUAUCACAAUAAGUCACCUCGAAUAAUUAUUCAGCAGCUGGCAAGAUCAUAAUUACCCAAGGAGGCUCUGCACACAGGUAUCAGUAGGCUGGAUAAUCUUUUUGUUCACCUAGAGCAGAUAGUGAGGGUGAAGUGGCCAGAAAUCAGCUACCUCAUGAGGCACAUUAAAUCCCACUAUUCUCAUUUCCUCUUUGCACAUUGAACUGGGAGCAAGCUGAGAACAUGUCCUAGAGACACACAGACACACAUGGGACACUGAUACUUGUGGCCACAAAGGCUGCCCCAGCCAAGGGCUACUUUCAACAGCACUUACACAGAGGACUCACAUAUAACAGACACAGACUGCCAAGACUCCUUCCUUCUUCCCAGUUGAUAGAGAAAGAAGUUCUCUAGAGAGGAAUACAGCACUCACAGGCAUAGAUGUAUUUUUGGAUACUCUGAGUACCUCUUUUGGUCUCUGUGUUCAUCAGGCAGACCCAGUGUGGUGUCUCAUUCUGCCUGGAAACCCUGCCCAGAUCCUAGGUCCUCUCACAUGACUUCACGGAUAGAAUUUAGACAUACUGUACACACAUACUUGACACAUGGAUGUCAAGUUAGGUAUACUGCACACCAGUAUGUCUAACUUGAAGUUCUCUGCAAAUGCACGCACUCACACAUCUCUCAAGCACAUCACAUUCUCAAGUUCAAGCACAGACCCACCAACAACCUGAUCACCUUACCCAAAUCAAUCCCCCCGCUACUCGCUUAAAGUUUGCUAGUGAAUAUACAUGGACAUCCCAUGCACAUCAGGUUGGAGAAGAUAUACACACUUGAGAGACACAGUAUUUGAUGCCAGGCCCAGUGGCUGUGACCCAGUGCCCUACUCCUGACUCUGGGGUGAAGAUACUUGUCUCACUCACACCGGUACCAUCAGUAUUCAGUUUGGGAAAACAUACCAGUCCCAUCCCACGACUGGGAGUAGAAGACCCACACUUCCUCCAGUACUUCACGUUAGUGCCCCACUCACUCCAGUAGUGGUGCUACACUCUGCAGCCUACAGCCUCAACCUGACUCCAAUAACAGACCCCCAGACAGCUCAUCAAUCUGCCAAGCAGAUGGCAAUCUGGGAUCAUAAACUGUGGAGCCCUUGCAAGUCCAAUCACUGACAAUAGGACCCUCACCCACUCCCAUGGCUGAUCCCACAUCUACAGCCUACACCCUUGGCUUAACUCCAGUAGCUGCACUCAGUCCGCUCAUACCAAUCCCUGUAGCCAGUACCCCAGCCUGAGACCCCACCAGUCCCAUCAGCUGCUGACAGUAGCACCCUCAUUCACUCUGCUGGCUGGCACCACAGUUCAUACAGCAGUGUAUCUUACCGUAAAUAUUCUAAGGAGCUUAAGAAAUAAAAUAUUUUAAAUAUGUUUUUUUUUUUUUUUUUUUCCAUCAGAAUACAUUUAUUCCUUUUUUGAUGCACAUAUAGUGGAAUUGGGCUUGCCUAAUUGGGUGGCUUCCAUCAACCUUAAACACAAAUAGGAAAGACCAUUUGACAAGAGCUACAGGUUGUUUGAAGUGCCUUCAGCUAGUAGUUAUGGCACUAAAAUAAGCAAUGAUGCAACUUGAGACUUUCUUCUGUAACAAGAACUCAUUCAGUUAACCAGGCUUUUCUGAAUCUGUUUCCAGUCUUAUUUACACUUGCUGGUUCUUUUUUUCUCUCUAGAAUUUUGUGCCUUUGUCAUCUACAUCUUUCUUCUGCAUUUAGUUUUACAUUGUGCUGAUGCUUGUUUGUAAUUUUUCCCUCCUACCUUUGUCUGAACUAUCUUUCCCUAGAGAAAUCUCUGUGCUUUUUACGGAAUCUUUAAUGGAACAGGAAUAUUUUGAUGGCAAACAGGCUUGAAUCUCCCUUCCCCUUUUGAUAGAAAAGGGUAGAACACUUCUGCAGACUCUUUUCCAAGGUUUAUAGGUAUUCUCACCAUGUUGCUCCUCCGUGCUGUACCAAAAUAGAAGAUCUGUGAUUCGUCCAAGUCCAGAAGCACACCAAUCACUGUCUCAUUCAUUUCCUUCUUUUCAAGCGUUCUUUUUCCCUGGAUAGCGAUAAUCACUCCCCUGGAUCUGUGCAGCGCCCAGUAGUCCUCACUAGCAAGUGUUCCUUGCUCCUCGUUUCCCUUUCUGUCUUAUGACCCCCAGCGCCCAGUCCUGCUGCUGGUCCACGUCCACUUCCCAGUAGUGUUUCCCAGCUGCAAACCCUGCCUUUGCCACCAGGACAGGGACUGUGGAGGGGCUGCUCAGGCUGGCAGCUUCACAUGCGUUGUCCUCAAAAUCUGGAGCCCCUGGCACUUGGAGCUCGAGGAGCUGGCAUUCAGGAUUCACAGUAAUGGGGACUGGAGGGGAAAAUGAGAAUGAUCCAGUGAACAGAGUGUUUCAGGGUCAUCUCCUCAGAGUGGAAAUGGGCUGAAGCGUUUCAGGGUUUCAGUAAUCAUGGCAUGAUUUGACAAAGAAUUGAAACAUUUUCCCCCAAACAGGACAAGCAACAGAGGUAGGAGCCUACAAGUCCCUUGGAGUUGUCAUAGCUAUGAUGGCCCUCUUGCGGACAAAUCCAGGUGAUUCUCACCGUCUUUCACACAUGUUAUAAUUAAUCUCUCUUUCACUUUUCCAUUGUGUCAGGGAGGUGGUUGAGUCAUGAUCCCUGAAUGUGUUUAAAAACAGUGUGGAUCUGGUGCGCAGGGACAUGAUUUAGCAGAGCGUUGUUGGAGUUGGGGUAGUUUGGUUAGGUUGUGGUUGGACUCAGUGACCAUUAAGGUCUUUUCCAACCUGAACAAUUCUGUGAUUCUAUGAUGAUGAUGAUUAUUAUUAUUAUUCCUAUUAUUAUUAUUGUUAUUAUUAUACAUUCAGACCUCACAUGAACACAGUUGUGCAACUUCUUUUCUCAGUAUUUUCAAUAGCCACAUCCAAGCUUCAUUUUGUUUUAUCCAGUUAAAGUGAAGGCUUAUUCCUGUGACUCCAGCUCAGCUGGCUGAUCUCUAAGAUCAUGGCAAUGUCAUUUCAGGAGAAUCUGGACAGAGAAAUACACCAUUUGCCCACCCUUUCUCCUGUCUGCUUACCUGCCCUGUUCCAAGCUUUCCAGAAAUCUGCAGAAGCAAACGAGACAGAAGGGUUUUGUGAAUCUUAUGCACAGUUCAGUACUUGUCAGCCUGUCCUCCGUUGCCUUGUGAUGUGCAGUUAUUGCCAUCACUGAGAUUCUGCCCAAGGCCUGACUUUAUCUAAAGCACCAGUAUGUAUUCCAAGAAAAUAAAAUUUUUAAACCACUUACCCAACUCAGGUUCUAUUCUACCUGAAAGGUAAAGAUAUUCUAGUUACUAAAAUGUAUUAUAUUGAAAGGUUGUUCUAGUUACUAACACCAGUAAUAAUUUUAUGAGAUUUUUCUCUGUUGUGGUUCAGUUUUUCGAAGUUGGACAAACCCAGCCCACAGGACACCAAGCUGCACAACAGGUAAACACUAGCACAUUUUGAAUUAGUGCAGGAGAGGUGUUCCAUUUUGUGGAUCGUUUCAGUGGCCCUUCCCUGGAUGUGCUCCAACAGGUCUAUGUCCCUCCUGUACUGAGGGACUGUACUGGAGUACUGGACUGUACUUCACAUCUGGAUGCAGUGCUCCAGGUGAAGGCUCACCAGAGCAGGGUAGAGGGACAGGAUCACCUCCCUGGACUUGCAGGUCAUGCAUCUUUAGAUACAGCCCAGCAUACAGUUGGCUUUUUGGGCUGCGAGGGCGGAGUGCUGGCUCAUGUCCAGCUUUCCAUCCACCAGUACCCCCAGGUCUUUUUGCAAUGAAACAACUCAUAACACGUUAUGGUUGCCUGUAGAUCUGUCCUAGCUUUAGGUAGAGCAGGUUCUGGCAAGAAGGAUUAUUCACAGUUCAGGAAAAUCUUAACAUGUCUCUUGAUGUCUAUACUGAAGAAGGAAAGUGAACUGAACUGUGAUGAAAUCUGUGCAAUCCCUUUGUCCUCGUAUAUGGCUUCCUCAUGCUGGUCUGAACGCUUGCAUGUUUUUUUGUAAGGUUCACAAGAAGAAGAUUUACUGAAGAUGUUCUCUUACCAAGUGUACAUUUCUUAUCAGAGUAUCCUGCAAAAUAAUGGCUUUGAUAAGUGAGAAGGAAUCUCAAGGAGAAUUGCAAACUCAAGGUGGAUGGAUUACAGACAGGAAAGAAAGUAUCACAGGACUCAUAGAAGUGCAGCCGUACUAUAUUAUAAACUUAGCUGUGAUUAAAACUGAAAUAGAGUUCAUAGCCACUUAAUGGAAGUUAUAACCAUUUAACUAGAAAGAAGUUAUCUUCAUUUUCAGUGAAAUAGCUGAUUUUCUUUCUCAUUAACUUCUAAGUUUGCAUUAAAACUGUCUUGGUUGCUGUAUUUAUUUACCUGCAAUGCGUAUCUUCUCAUGUGCAUCUAAGUAGACCAACAGGCAACACAUAAGAAAGGAAAAAGAAUAAUAAAAGGAAAAGAAAAUAUUACUGACUUGAACAUUUUUUUUUUUUUAACAGGAGUCCAAAGGAUGAUCAGAUAUGCUUUAAAAUUAUGCCAUUGCACUCAAUGACAAAAGGUCCAAAAUAUUCAUGGAAAAUUGAUCGUAAUGGUAUUUUGAAUCUUUGAAUUUAUGAUCAGCCAUCAACACUGGUCACAAUUACAUUUGAGAAAGGGAGCAGUCACAUCCAGAAAAACUUCAUGUCAAGAUGUUGUACAUCUCAUUGCACUUUUAGGGAUGUAAACAGCUUGCUGGCUAGAAGUACUCGAAGAAUUAUCAAAACCAUAUUCUUACCUAAGUCCUUCUCCAAAUCCUCUUUGUCUGAAAGAAAUGACAUAGGAUUAUCACUGUAUCUGUUUCAGUAUCAAAUCGUAAACUGAACGUGACUCAUUGUUCUUGAAUGCUAUUUCCUCCAUAAUAUUUUUACAUAGGACCAGCUGUGAUUAUUCCAAUCUAUCUAGUGAGGAAAAGAAGGACAUGCUGCAUGCAUAUGCUCUCCUCCCGUUCUUUUCAGUUUGUCAACAUAUUGAGGAAAAAUAAACCACGCUAGAAAGAACCCAAUCUUUUGUCCUGUCAGUGUUUUAGCAAAAAUCAAAUUGUUUCUUUCACUUCUCUGAAACCACCACUCUACUUGCAGGGCUUACUCGAGAACAGGCGGUGCCCAGGGAAGACUUAGAAGGGAUCUUAAAGCCCACUCAGUUCCAACCUUCCUGCCAUUGACUGGUUGCCAUCCACUACAUCAGGCUGUUGAGGGCCCCAUCCAACCUGGUCUUGAGUGCCUUCAGGGAUGGGGCAUCUGCAGUUUCUCUUGGCAUCCUGCUCCUGUGUCUCACCACUUUCUGGGUAAAAAAUUUCCUCCUGAUAUUUAAUCUAAAUUUCACUUCUUCUAGUUUAAAAUAAUUCUCCCUCAUCUUAUCACUAUCAGAUCAUAUAAAAUGCUUCCUUCUUGUUUAUAAACUCCCUUUAAGUACUUCUUAGAGAAGACAGGAAUGACAGGUCUGCCUCUUUGCUCAGCUCUGAAGUGUUGUCUAGGUUACUAGGAAUGAGGAUCAUAUGGAAUACAAGAGAACACUUUAUUUAUUUGUUUGUUUGUUUGUUUGUUUGUUUGUUUGUAAUUGUGAGAGAGGUCAAACACAAGAGCAGGCUGUUCACAGAUACUGUAGAGUGUCCAUCCUUGGACAUAUCCAAAAUCUGACUUGACUUGGUCUUUGGCAUCUGCUCUAGGCGAUUCUGCUUGAGCAGGAAGAAGCAGUUUUUGACCCUGUCAUCUUUAUUGCUGACUUUCAAGUGAUUCUACGAAGCUAUUUGGUCAUCCUUUGCUUUCUCUUCUUCAGAAGAAAUAAACCCAUGUCUUUCAGCCUCAUCUUACUGACUGCGUACCCCUUUCCCCACUCUGUUUCAGGGCCUCCUUCAAGCAGCCAGCUCAUCUAUUCAGUUUUCUUUAUGGCUUGUGGUUUAGUGAGGUCCACCUCCUGACAAUUUUCUGUGCAAAUAUACUUCCUCCUCCUUUUAGUAGUUCUUCAAACUCCCAUAUGCAGAUAGGGGAAAAAUGAGAAAGGCCAAUUAAAUUGGACCUCCUGAAUACCUGCAUGAUCGAAAGGUUUUCUGUAUUCAGUUUUGGUCUGCUCUGUGGUUUGUCUCAAAGGUAAGACCUAGCACAUCAGAAAGGGACCGUAUCAAAGAAACCAUGAACCAAGAAGGUAGAUCCCACGAGAUACCAAAACAACAAUGGACAAACUUUUUCUCUUCUGGAUGAAAUAUCAGCAAUCCCUUACAUGUUUCUGAGGAGAGCUACUAAGUCCUCAUGCCCAGAUUUUUUGUCAGAGGUGCCAAUUCAACUCCCUACUCUACAUUAUUAUUUCACAUUUUCAAUCUGAUGCCUUUUUCAAGCAGCUAUUGUUCCUUCAGCUUGUGUUCUGAGCCUUCAGUUUACUAUUUACCUCAACUUCAAUUGGCUUUGUAGUUUCUUGUUUACCCUUCAGUCCUAUUUGUUUUGACCUUUAAUAUAACCCUAUAUAUCAUCUUUGUCCUCACUGAAACCAGUUGGCCGUUGGCCAAACAGUGGAGUAGUUCUGCGUGCCCUUGCUCCUGUAUCUCCCUCUGCCUUUGGGAAUAUCCUGAUUGAUUUUAUCUUCCCUCCACAUAUUUGGAGGAGUGGAGUCUGUUGCAUUCUCUCCUAAACUCUUCUCAGGAGUAUUUGACAUAAUCUCUUGAAGUGCUGCAUUACUGAGAUGCAUUUUCACUUUGGACAGCUUGGGAAGGAAAGGAGCAUACUGCUAGAUAUAGUAUGAGACACAUGGCUUGAAUGCAAGCAUUUAAGCAAGAUAUGGAAACAUUUGAAGUGUGUGAUACAAGUAAAGACAUCUGAUGGUAGUGCAUGAGAACAGAGCAUUGUUCAAGAUCUCAGUGUGGAUAGGCUAAUUCAACCAAUAUGGAAAGCAGUGCUCACUGCUCAUAGAACAGCUAUUCCUUAGUGAAUAUACCAUGUAGAAUCAUGUGAGUGGGAAGUCACCUUUAAAGGUCAUUUAGUGCAACUCACCUGCAGUGAACAGGGAAAUCUACAGCUGAAUCAGCCUGUGCAGGGCCCCAUCCAGCCUAACCUUGAACGUCUCCAGGGAUGGAGCAGAUAAUGGCAGUAUCUGGCCAAACCUGAAGCCUUGCCAAGGUGUCUCAGUCUGGAUGUCCUAGGAAAUAAGGCUGUGAUUUUUUAACAAGCUGUAUUUUGGCACGUGUAAUGAGCCAGGGUUUGCCAUGGGCUCUGCACGGGCUUGGGGAAACAGAUCUGUGAACAAUUUCUAGGCCAAGAUCUGCAAAGGUCUUUCCAUUUCUUUGAUUCCUCCAAAGUCUUUCUGUGGUGUUUGAUGUUAAAAUGUCUAUAAAAGGCUAUUUGUGAAGCUUUUGGCCAGGUUAUCUGGGGCUCUGAGUAAUCUGUUGUGAAAGUUGUUCCUACCCAUGGAAGAGGGUUGGAGUGAGAUGGCUUUUAAGAUCUCUUCCAACUCAAGCCAUGCAGUGUUCAGUUAUUUUUAGGAAAACAGAGCCCACACCACACUCACAGGCAGUUCCUAUCCUGUGAUACAACAUUUUUCUUUGUGCAAAGACUAGAUGGAACUUCUAAAUCGCCGUGGUAUAAUAUACAACUGAUCUUGCUUCACUAAAACCCAUCACCUGGUUUAGUCUGUGUUAGGCUGAAUUGGCAGAGGUGCUAUGUCUCUUCUGCAAAUUUCUUCCUACCAUAGUAACGUAGAGUCACUUUUUUUUUUUUUUUUUUUUUUUUUUUUUGUGUAGCUUUGUGAUUGAAGGUGUCUUUUCCAACCAUGCAUACAUAGUAUCCUUCAUAAAACUCAAAGGAGAGAACAUCCUUUUCAUAUAAAAACCUAGACACUUGACCUUAUGGUGAUAUUACAGCAGUGUUUUUUAUUGUCUGAGCUGUUCUAUAUGAAGCCUUUUCUUUCACGGAAUCUGUACAUGGGACUUUUCCCCCAUACUGGCUACCUGUAGCCCUGCUCAGUGAUCUAAGCAUUCAGAAACUUGUCCCCCUUCUUCUCAUUUUAGCUGCAACUCUUACCUCCAUGGGGAUCCCCAGCUUUCAGGGCACGUGUUGCUUCUCCUCAACAAUUUUAUCUUGAACAAUAGCCAGUCCAUACCUUAUCCCUACUCAAAACCCUACAGGCUACUCAGGUACCCCUAAACCUUAGGGCUGCAUUCUUUAGCACUGCUACUGCUACUGAAACAGAAAACAUUCGUUUUGGGGAUUGCUACAGCCUGAUUUCAGAGAGGAAAGCUAUACUGGAGAUACAGGAUGUGUCCACUAUACAAAUGUUAUUGCAGGGUAAACAUAAUUCCUAUGGAUAUAUUACGUAUCAUCUUGUCUUUGUAGAUAUUUCCAUUCUCAUUGCUGCAGAUGCUGAGGUUCUUGCAGAGCCCUCUGGCACUCAUGGAAAGGUCAGGCUG